GAUGAAGAACGUAGCGAAAUGCGAUAAGUAAUGUGAAUUGCAGAAUUCAGUGAAUCAUCGAAUCUUUGAACGCACAUUGCGCCCGCCAGUAUUCUGGCGGGCAUGCCUGUUCGAGCGUCAUUACAACCCUCAGGCCCCCGGGCCUGGCGUUGGGGAUCGGCGGAGCCCCCCGUGGGCACACGCCGUCCCCCAAAUGCAGUGGCGGUCCCGCCGCAGCUUCCAUCGCGUAGUAGCUAACACCUCGCGACUGGAGAGCGGCGCGGCCACGCCGUAAAACACCCAACUCUUCUGAAGUUGACCUCGAAUCAGGUAGGAAUACCCGCUGAACUUAAGCAUAUCAUAAGCGAGGA
rnacentral:misc_RNA from 1 species